AGGAAACAGGCUCAGAGGAGUACAGUGACUUGCUGAAGUUCCCCCGGCAGAUUUCCAAUCGUUGAACUCAAGAACCAUCUGUUCAUUACCUUGAUGACACUGAUCAUUGGUUUGAUGGAUGAGGAAGCUAAGUCCUAUAGCUCACAAGAGGCAAAGCUGAAUGUUAGCCUAGGAUGUUCGGCCCCCUGGCUGGUGAUCUCUCUACUAUGAGGUCCUGCUUCUCUC